rnacentral:rRNA from 1 species
GAUGAACGCUGGCGGCGUGCCUAAUACAUGCAAGUCGAGCGAACAGACGAGGAGCUUGCUCCUCUGACGUUAGCGGCGGACGGGUGAGUAACACGUGGAUAACCUACCUAUAAGACUGGGAUAACUUCGGGAAACCGGAGCUAAUACCGGAUAAUAUAUUGAACCGCAUGGUUCAAUAGUGAAAGACGGUUUUGCUGUCACUUAUAGAUGGAUCCGCGCCGCAUUAGCUAGUUGGUAAGGUAACGGCUUACCAAGGCAACGAUGCGUAGCCGACCUGAGAGGGUGAUCGGCCACCCUGGAACUGAGACACGGUCCAGACUCCUACGGGAGGCAGCAAUAGGGAAUCUUCCGCAAUGGGCGAAAGCCUGACGGAGCAACGCCGCGUGAGUGAUGAAGGUCUUCGGAUCGUAAAACUCUGUUAUUAGGGAAGAACAAAUGUGUAAGUAACUAUGCACGUCUUGACGGUACCUAAUCAGAAAGCCACGGCUAACUACGUG